rnacentral:rRNA from 1 species
UACGAAGGGGGCUAGCGUUGUUCGGAAUCACUGGGCGUAAAGGGCGCGUAGGCGGCUUUGUAAGUCGGGGGUGAAAGCCUGUGGCUCAACCACAGAAUUGCCUUCGAUACUGCAUGGCUUGAGACCGGAAGAGGUAAGUGGAACUGCGAGUGUAGAGGUGAAAUGCGUAGAUAUCUGGAGGAACACCGGUGGCGAAGGCGGCAUUCUGGACCGAUAUUGACGCUGAGGAGCGAAAGCCAGGGGAGCAAACGGG